UGUGAAAGAGUCGGGCAAUAUGGCCUACACUCGUGUAUCUACGGCAAAGUCUUCUUGAAGCAAUACUACGAGCCUGACCUGUCAAAAUAUACAGUGCAGCACGACAACGAAGGCUACCCGAUACAUCCUAAGACAAAGCUUCGUACGAGAGUGAUAAGCUACCGGAGAGAGUUCCUGCUGAACCUGGUCUUCUUUUUCAUCUGGCCAGUGCUGCUGUGCAGCCGAAACGUCAGUCGCGGGACGCCGCCUAAGUAUCAGCUUCUUGAAAGCAACAGCAGCAGUAUUGAUGAUGACUCGGAUGGCAUCAUACGCCCAAUGAGUGAAGUCAUCAUACCAACUAAAUUGCCGAACGGUCGUAGAACACGUUCGCAUACGUAGAAAACUUAGCCACUCUCAUUAUAUUAAUUUACUCUUAUUUUAUGUAUACGCUGUAAAUUACGAAAUACUUUCAUGUUUUCAUACAUAUGUAAUCAUCGCUUCAGUGAUGGCACUCAAUUUCAAAACAGCGAGGUUUCUAAAAAAAGAAAAAGAAACAACCAAGCUUUGCGAUGCGGAUCGAUGUCUUCGUGUAAACUCAGUGUUGUUGGCAUAACGAAGGCUUUUCUGCCACGUCGAUUAUAUUACGAUGUUUAAAUGGUAUGUUAUGGUUCGAUGUAACAUCGGCAGUUAGGUUAACGCACAGACGUCAGUUCCAUCGAAGAGUACUUAACGUUACUGCG
rnacentral:lncRNA from 1 species